UACGUAGGGGGCAAGCGUUGUCCGGAAUUAUUGGGCGUAAAGAGCGCGUAGGCGGUCCGGUAAGUCGGUUGUGAAAGUCGGGGGCUCAACCCUCGGAUGCCGGAUCGAUACUGUCGGGCUAGAGUCCGGAAGAGGCGGAGUGGAAUUCCUGGUGUAGCGGUGAAAUGCGCAGAUAUCAGGAAGAACACCAUGGCGAAAGCAGCCCUCUGGGACGGUACUGACGCUGAGACGCGAAAGCGUGGGGAGCGAACAGG
rnacentral:rRNA from 1 species